rnacentral:rRNA from 1 species
AGUCGAACGAGACCUUCGGGUCUAGUGGCGCACGGGUGCGUAACGCGUGGGAAUCUGCCCUUGGGUUCGGAAUAACGUCGGGAAACUGACGCUAAUACCGGAUGAUGACGUAAGUCCAAAGAUUUAUCGCCCAGGGAUGAGCCCGCGUAGGAUUAGGUAGUUGGUGAGGUAAAGGCUCACCAAGCCGACGAUCCUUAGCUGGUCUGAGAGGAUGAUCAGCCACACUGGGACUGAGACACGGCCCAGACUCC